rnacentral:rRNA from 1 species
AGUAUUAAAGGUCCUGCCUGCCCAGUGAGUAUUUUAAACGGCCGCGGUAUUCUAACCGUGCAAAGGUAGCGUAAUCAUUUGUCUUUUAAAUAAAGACCAGUAUGAACGGCUAAAUGAGGAUAAACCUGUCUCCUACAGCCUAUCAGUGAAACUGAUCUUCCAGUCCAAAAGCUGGAAUAUCUUCAUAAGACGAGAAGACCCUGUGGAGCUUAAAACCAACCACUAAUAAAUUAGCUUUAACAACUAGUGUAAAGUUUUGAGUUGGGGCGACUUCGGAACAAAACAAAACUUCCGAGCACAGAACCACCCUUUCUAACUAAGGCAUACAUGCCAAAGAUAAAAGAUGACCCAGUCACACUGAUCAACGAACCAAGUUACCCCAGGGAUAACAGCGCCAUCUUCUUCAAGAGUCCAUAUCGACAAGAAGGUUUACGACCUCGAUGUUGGAUCAGGGCACCCCAAUGGUGCAACCGCUAUUAAAGGUUCGUUUGUUCAACGAUUAACAGC